rnacentral:rRNA from 1 species
UGGCGGACGGGUGAGUAAUGUCUGGGAAACUGCCUGAUGGAGGGGGAUAACUACUGGAAACGGUAGCAAAUACCGCAUAACGUCGCAAGACCAAAGAGGGGGACCUUCGGGCCUCUUGCCAUCGGAUGUGCCCAGAUGGGAUUAGCUAGUAGGUGGGGUAACGGCUCACCUAGGCGACGAUCCCUAGCUGGUCUGAGAGGAUGACCAGCCACACUGGAACUGAGACACGGUCCAGACUCCUACGGGAGGCAGCAUG